rnacentral:rRNA from 1 species
CCUGCACGAAUGGCGUAACGAGGGCCACACUGUCUCCACCCGAGACUCAGUGAAAUUGAAAUUGCUGUUAAGAUGCAGUAUACCCGCGGCCAGACGGAAAGACCCCGUGCACCUUUACUACAGCUUUGCAUUGAACUCUGAUCCUACCUGUGUAGGAUAGGUGGGAGACUUUGAAACUUUAACGCUAGUUAGAGUGGAGUCAUCCUUGAAAUACCACCCUGGUAUGGUUGGGGUUCUAACCUUGGUCCGUUAUCCGGAUUGGGGACAAUGCAUGGUGGGUAGUUUGACUGGGGCGGUCUCCUCCCAAAGAGUAACGGAGGAGCGCAAAGGUACCCUCAGCACGGUCGGACAUCGUGCAAUGAGCGCAAAGGUAAAAGGGUGCUUGACUGCGAGACUGACACGUCGAGCAGGUAGGAAACUAGGUCUUAGUGAUCCGGUGGUUCUGAGUGGAAGGACCAUCGCUCAACGGAUAAAAGGUACGCCGGGGAUAACAGGCUGAUACCGCCCAAGAGUUCACAUCGACGGCGGUGUUUGGCACCUCGAUGUCGGCUCAUCACAUCCUGGGGCUGAAGCAGGUCCCAAGGGUAUGGCUGUUCGCCAUUUAAAGUGGUACGCGAGCUGGGUUUAGAACGUCGUGAGACAGUUCGGUCCCUAUCUACCGUGGGCGUUGGAGACUUGAGGGAAGCUGUUCUUAGUACGAGAGGACCGGAAUGGACACACCUCUGGUGUUUCGGUUAUGACGCCAGUCGUAUUGCCGAGUAGCUAUGUGUGGAAAGGAUAACCGCUGAAAGCAUCUAAGCGGGAAGCCCCUCCCAAGAUUAGGUCUCCCUGACAGUUUAACUGUCCUAAAGAUCCCUCGGAGACUACGAGGUUGAUAGGCACGGUGUGGAAGAGUAGUGAUACUUGAAGCUAACGUGUACUAAUUGAUCGUGAGGCUUGACCAUAUAACACCCAA